AUCAUAUAUAUUGAGUAUCUAAUUUGAAAAAAAAAAAGUCAUAGAAAUACAAUCAAAUGUAUCAAGCAAAUUUCAGAUGUAUCAUAUAGUAAUCUUCCACCGUCAAAUAAUAUCUAAGAUUUCAGAUGUAUCACGUAUUCAAAUAAUAAUUCUUCUUCUUCUCCUUCUCUUCUUCACAACGUGCUCCACGUGAAUUCUUGAUGUUUGGUCCUGACCAAAAUCGAGUAACUAGGCCAGUUCUCUUUUCAUUUGUUUCAUUUGCACUUCUUUCUUGUUCUUCAACAAUUUCAACCUUGAAGACGCUAGCUUUAACGACAUCUUACUGCAACAAAUUUAAAAAGAAUAAUUUAAAUCACUUUGAAUUCUCUCAUACAAAAUUAAAUCAACGGACAACUAUUGAAGACCAAUCAAUAGGUGGAACAAUCUUGAAGUUGAACGAAAUUACUAUUUGGUGGAGUUGAAGUUCUUGAUCAUGGUUUAAGCAAUUACCUUUCUUAAUUAUCUCAGCAUCAGGACAUUUGUGUAUAGGGCCUGCUUCAGCCAUCAGACUGGUGAAGAAGUCAAUGAAUUUCCUCUUAACAAGUAUUGGAUCAAUGAGCUUAGUAUUAGUGCUUGUGUAGACUGAAUUUAUAGUAUUGUGGCUAAUUCUCAUCUUCAUUUAGGCAUGGAAGUAUCUGGAGUUAGCAUCUCCACACUGAAUCCACUGAGCUCUAGAUUUUUAUCUCAAAACUUAUUCCCCCACUGUACUCUAUUUUUCUAUCUCCAUCAAUAUUUGUUUUCCAGUGACAUAAGCUGCUGAUUCAAAGGUUGGGAAGCCAACCUUGUUUGUAUUGCUUCCAGCUCCACUCUAGCUUGUUGCAGUCUCUGUUGGUAACUUGCCAUGUAAGUGUUCAGCCCCUUCAAUUCACUCUUCAAUCUAUUCAGAUUUUGCCAUACCUUGUACAUCCAAUUUCCCUCUACUGGCUGCUUCCAUGUUUUUUUUACCAGGCCUCCAAACUCCUGAUGUUUCAUGACACUACUAAACAGUUUGAAUGGCUUAGGAUGUUGGUUAUAUUGCUGAGUGCUUAUGUUUAUCUGAAUGACAAUUAGGGCAUGAUCAGAUACACCUGGAUUAAGAUAUUUAGCCUCAAUAUGCCCAUAAUGCAGUAGCCAAUUAAAAUUACCUAGUGCCCAAUCAAUUUUGCUAUAUACCAUACUAUUAUCUUGGCGCUUGUUGCACUAAGUGUACUGACCACCUAUGUUCAUCAAUGGAGUGAGUUAUAGUUUGUCUAUCAAUUCCCUGAAUACUUGUACUUCAACCGCUGUUACUGGUGCCCCCAACCUAUCAUCAACUGUUAACACAUUGUUGAAAUCACCACUUAUGAUCCAACUGGAUUAUAUCUGUGAGCCCACUUGUUCUAAUUCACUCCAUAGACUCUACCUCUUGCUUUGUUCAUUCCAUGCAUACACAACUGUGAAGAAGAUAACUACUUGUUGCUGGUUGUCUUCCACCUUACAAUGUAUGAAUUGACUGUCCAUAUCCAAAACUUGGAUUGCAAUAUCAGUUUUCCAUAAUAGCCACACUCUCCCAAUUGGUGCUUCAGCAGUGUAAUUACAACAAUGCUUCCAAUCACUAACUAUUUUUGAUAGGAUUCUUUUUGCAUUCCAUUCUUUUACCUUAGUUUCUACGCACCCCAUUAUAUCUAUUUUAUUCUUCUUCAGAAAGAGUAUCAGCUUUCUGUUUAAAGGGCUUCUUUAGUGUAACACCUUGUAUUCAAGUACGUGUAUUGGCGUAUUCAAGUACGUGUAUUGGUCUUAUUUAUAUGGAAUUAAUUUUAUUUUAUUUUAUUUA